CAUCGGCUGGCGCCCUCCGCGGACAUUGUCCUCGCGGCUGGGCGUUGGGGACGUCGCGCGUCUCACUCCUGCUGCGGAAAGACGGGGCAGUUAACCAACGCUGUGCAGCUUCCUGCCCAACCCAACACCAUCCUUUCACGUGCCCUACCCUGGACUGCCAUAUACGAGAGGAAAGCGCCCAGGCUUUGACCCUCAACGAACAUCCUCGCCAGGGCGUGACGGGAAGCGCAGCGGGGACGUGGACCCAAGACGGGACCAUCCUCUCGGAUUAGGUCAAACGGGAUUACCCCAGCUACACCGACACAGCAAAAUUAACGUGGCUCAGUCCCGGUAAAGCAGAACGAAAGUCAGUUUGAUUAGAGGAACAAUACAAAGGAGGAACCAGACACAUAAAAACACACCACCCCUUCACACACAAGCGUAACCUUCAGUUUCACCUCUUUAUUGCCAACAGAAAAUACACAGCUAUAGAUAAAAUACAAAAAAAUAUCUAAGAUGAACAGUGAUGUGAAAAGAAGUGCAAGUACUUGAUUAUGGCAGUAGGUUAAUGUUUUAUUCCAGUUUCCAACAGUUUAAUCUACUUUCAAAGAUUGUUCCAAUUAAAAAAAAAAUGUUUUUAAAAAGUAAAAUUUUUGUUCAAAUAAUUGAGUGAACAAGUCAGUACAAUCAUUGUAAAGAUGAAAGUACAAUAGCAACUUAUGUAUUUGAAUAUGGUUAUUCACCAACUUAAUCACAAGUCCUACACUUCAGUUAAAAGCCUUUACAGAAUUUUAUUUUUCUGUAAUUAAUGACUUCUGUGACAUUUGUGCAUACCGUGCAAAAAAAACACCCCACCACAACUUAGGCACCCAAGACAUUAAAAGCCCUCUCGGCAGUAGCUGUUAAUUUGAAUAUAAAAUCCAUAAAACACAAAUGCUGCUACAAUAAAACUAAUGCAAAUCAAUAACAUGAUAAAAAUGAACAUUUGUUUCCCACAAAGUACCAGCAGACAUCGGCCUGCCCCUCCUAUUGGCAUGAUCUAAGCACAUGAAACCAGAAUUAGAGGACACACACGAUAGGCAGAACAAACAGUGUGUGCAAUCCACUGGACCAAAAAAAACCCUCAACCACCAUCUAACAAGAAACAAAUUAAGCAAUCAGGGUUUGUUGAAACAAAUGAACACUUACCGCCCUGUUAAAGUUCUCCAAACUUUACUUGGGCACCUAAGACGGUUGCACUGCACCGUAUACGGACCAGUCAUCAGACCCAACAGUUCGUCGUGCAUGACCAGGUCUUUGGAACAGGACACCCCACCCGACCGAUAUGGGAAGCCAGCGUACCCCUUAUCUCCCAGCACAGAAACAUUUGGCACGUUGUUCGGAUCACUUGGCACUUGCAUAUGGCAUUCCAAUAGUGACAUUCAAGGGAAAAUUGAUGACCAGAAAGAAAAUCAUUUUACAACCAAAGCAGUUGUAGAAUUCCUGCACACACAGUGGUGUGUAUAACUUACCAGAUCAGUGCAGCAGUGUGAAUGACUAUCCAAUGUAUCCAAUGACUAGUUUCUUCAACCACUCAAAGUUAUUACCCCCCCCAAAAAAGUAAUACGUUUUGAAUUCUGUAUGGAAAUCGUGGAAACAAACGGCUCCGAUUUCAGUUCUUGGAACUUCCGAAGACUAGAUUUCUCUCACAUCAGUUUCGGUCAUAUUUAUAAUGAAAUGUAGUCUACUUAUAUCAAAACUAAUAACAUCAAAGAAACACACCACCGCACAUUUUCUCUGCUAAAUCGGACUUGUCGUUCUACUGCACGUUAACAAUGAUCUUAUUCUACAACUAUUUAAGAAACUUCUUUAACUAACUGGGUCCGCAAUGCAUUAUUGCUGAUUACUCCUCGAUUUGGUUAUGUGUUGCGAGUAUACAAUCAUUAAUAGUGUCUUUAAACUUAACUCACAAAACCAUUACGUGAAAGUGACAGCUGUAGAAGAAGGUGGACAAAGUUUUCUUUGGAUAUUAACAAUUGAAUUCACUUUAAAUGGUCAUACUUAGUGGUCUUUAUAGGUCAUGUGACUAAAACCCACGUAGACCAUGGCUUAGGAACCAUACAAAAAUGCACAGUCACUUUGUGUGGGUUCAUCUGUUCUGUGUAGUCUCUCAAAUAUUUGAGUUCAGCGUGUGAAGUCAUUAAAGGGGACAGUAAACAAACCAACAGGUAAUUCAUCGCGGUACAUUGUUCUGUUACAAAUGCCAUAAUGUUCAAUACAACUCCCAUUAAAGCAAAAUUUCUAA